rnacentral:rRNA from 1 species
CCUACGGGAGGCAGCAGUGAGGAAUAUUGGUCAAUGGACGAGAGUCUGAACCAGCCAAGUAGCGUGAAGGAUGACUGCCCUAUGGGUUGUAAACUUCUUUUAUAAAGGAAUAAAACGAGGCACGUGUGCCUUUUUGCAUGUACUUUAUGAAUAAGGAUGGGCUAACUCCGUGCCAGCAGCCGCGGUAAUACGGAGGAUCCGAGCGUUAUCCGGAUUUAUUGGGUUGAAAGGGAGCGUAGAUGGGUUGUUAAGUCAGUUGUGAAAGUUUGCGGCUCAACCGUAAAAUUGCAAUUGAUACUGGCAGUCGUGAGUACAGUUGAGGUAGGCGGAAUUCGUGGUGUAGCGGUGAAAUGCUUAGAUAUCACGAAGAACCCCGAUUGCGAAGGCAGCUUACUAAACUGUGACUGACAUUGAUGCUCGAAAGUGUGGGUAUCAAACAGGAUUAGAUACCCCGGUAGUC